CCCUUAGAUGUUCUGGGCUGCACGCGUGCUACACUGAUAUUGCCUAUAUGUCAUUCUUAUCCGAAAUGGAUUGGGUAAUCAAGUAAUGAAAUUUCAUGCUUGGAAUCGGUAAUUGCAAUUUUAUCGUGAACGAGGAAUUCCUAGUAAGCACUAGUCAUCAGCUAAUGUUGAUUAUGUCCCUGCCCUUUGUACACACCGCCCGUCGCUACUACUGAUUGGGUGUUCAAGUGAGAUGCUUAGACCCUUGUUGCAUGGUUCAUUAUUGUGCUCCGAAAGGAAAAAGUUUCAAGCUUGAGUGUCUAGAGGAAGUAAAAGUCGUAACA
rnacentral:rRNA from 1 species